rnacentral:rRNA from 1 species
UACAGAGGUUUCAAGCGUUGUUCGGAUUCAUUGGGCGUAAAGGGUGUGUAGGUGGCUCGCUAAGUCGGGCGUGAAAUUUCGGAGCUUAACUCCGAAACUGCAUUCGAUACUGGCGUGCUUGAGGACUGGAGAGGAGACUGGAAUUCAUGGUGUAGCAGUGAAAUGCGUAGAGAUCAUGAGGAAGACCAGUGGCGAAGGCGGGUCUCUGGACAGUUCCUGACACUGAGACACGAAGGCCAGGGGAGCAAACGGG